rnacentral:lncRNA from 1 species
CCUGACAUGACAUGAAUCACUGUGAUUAAUAUGAAGGAGCUGGGGACACAUCAGAAAAAAAGAGCAUUGUCAUUCGCUGAGCAGUGCUGCUGAUGGAGGGAACAGCAAAAGCCUUCUUGCAACAUUACCUCAAAUAGAAACACCUUGUUUUUGUUGUCUGGGAUCCUCAUCCUCUUCAAAGACCUCCAAGGCAUCCACAGGCUGUAUAAGGUAGGUCUUCAAGCA